rnacentral:rRNA from 1 species
UGGGGAAUUUUGGACAAUGGGCGCAGGCCUGAUCCAGCAAUGCCGCGUGAGUGAAGAAGGCCUUCGGGUUGUAAAGCUCUUUUGUCAGGGAAGAAACGGCUGAGGUUAAUACCUUUGGCUAAUGACGGUACCUGAAGAAUAAGCACCGGCUAACUACGUGCCAGCAGCCGCGGUAAUACGUAGGGUGCAAGCGUUAAUCGGAAUUACUGGGCGUAAAGCGUGCGCAGGCGGUUUUGUAAGUUUGUCGUGAAAGCCCCGGGCUCAACCUGGGAAUGGCGAUGAAGACUGCAAGGCUUGAAUCUGGCAGAGGGGGGGUAGAAUUCCACGUGUAGCAGUGAAAUGCGUAGAGAUGUGGAGGAACACCGAUGGCGAAGGCAGCCCCCUGGGUCAAGAUUGACGCUCAUGCACGAAAGCGUGGGGAGCAAA